CAAAAAAUAGUUUAUAAAGAAUCUUAAUUUUGGAGAUUAGAGGUAUAAGGAUGUUUAUUUUUUUGA
rnacentral:tRNA from 1 species